rnacentral:rRNA from 1 species
UACGGAGGGUGCGAGCGUUGAUCGGAAUCACUGGGCGUAAAGCGUACGUAGGCGGCUGUGUAAGGCAGAUGUGAAAUCCCCGGGCUUAACCUGGGAACUGCAUUCGAUACUGCGCGGCUCGAGUCUGAUAGAGGGGGGUGGAAUUCCAGGUGUAGCGGUGAUAUGCGUAGAUAUCUUGAGGUACACCAGUGGCGAAGGCGGCCCCCUGGAUCAAGACUGACGCUGAGGUGCGAUAGCAUGGGUAGCAAACAGG